AAGAUUUUAAGUUAUCUAAACUCUAAACCUUCAAAGUUUAAUAUAUAAAUUAUAAUUUAUAAAUCUUA
rnacentral:tRNA from 3 species